ACUCCAUAGACAUAUUAAUAAAUUAAUUUAGUUUCUAGUUAAGUAUUAAAAUCCAUAUACCUACUGUUGAUUGUAAUGAAUAUAUAAUUACUGACUAUUGCGACACUACGAGCAUAGUUGUCUCGCGCAAAACAGUUUUUGCUAUAUUGUGCAUUUGUAAGACGGAGACAACACGUAUUCGGGUGUACCGUCCUCUAAAUAUGUCUAUAACUUACCCGCUUUAAUGUAAUGGUAUAAUACUGAGCACGUAGUGUCGCAGUAGUCAGUAAUUAUAUUCAUUACAAUUAACAGUACAUGGAUCUUAAUACUUAACUAGGAACUAAAUUAAUUAUCUACUAAUUUUUACUUAAAUCAAACAGUUUAGAUACCUAUCUAUUACUUAAAACAGAUAAGUGAAAUGUAAUUCAAAAAUAACCCAUGUUUUAUUUUAUUUAUAUUCAAGUGUGUGAAUUGUGACGAUCGGACGUAUAAUUCUAGUGACAACAAUGAUGUAAAAAGUUUUGGGAUUGAGUGGACAAUAGCUAAGAAUACAUUAGGAUAUGACGACGAAUCCGUUGAAACAUACUUUGCAGUUUGUCAGUCGAGAUGCAAAAAUACGCAUAAGAUAUGGACCAAUGGAGUUGUGACAGAUAUAGUGACGGAACGACUGCGGGCUGCCAAUGUUGUAUAGAGAUAAUGUCAAAUAAGAAAAUGUACCUGCUACACGCUACGUAAGUCUGAAGUAUGAAUACUGAAUCUGUAAUAUAAACCGAAAA